AUUGCCUUAGUAACGGCGAGUGAAGCGGCAACAGCUCAAAUUUGAAAGCUGGCUCCUUUGGAGUCCGCGUUGUAAUUUGUAGAGGAUGAUUCGGCAAGGGCUCCCGCCUAAGUCUCCUGGAACGGAGCGUCAUAGAGGGUGAGAAUCCCGUAUGCGGUGGGCUGCCUAAGCCAUGUGAAUCUCCUUCGACGAGUCGAGUUGUUUGGGAAUGCAGCUCUAAAUGGGAGGUAAAUUUCUUCUAAAGCUAAAUACCGGCCAGAGACCGAUAGCGCACAAGUAGAGUGAUCGAAAGAUGAAAAGCACUUUGGAAAGAGAGUUAAAAAGUACGUGAAAUUGUUGAAAGGGAAGCGCUUGCAGCCAGACUUGUCCGCAGUUGCUCAGCCGGUCUCCUGACCGGUGUACUCUUCUGCGGCCAGGCCAGCAUCAGUUCGGGCGGUCGGAUAAAGACCUCGGGAAUGUAGCUCCUCUCGGGGAGUGUUAUAGCCCGGGGUGGAAUGCGGCCAGCCUGGACUGAGGAUCUCGCUUCGGCUAGGAUGCUGGCGUAAUGGCUGUAAGCGGCCCGUCUUGAAACACGGACCAAGGAGUCUAACAUCUAUGCGAGUGUUUGGGUGUCAAACCCAUGCGCGUAAUGAAAGUGAACGGAGGUGGGAACCCUCACGGGUGCACCAUCGACCGAUCCUGAUGUCUUCGGAUGGAUUUGAGUAAGAGCAUAGCUGUUGGGACCCGAAAGAUGGUGAACUAUGCCUGAAUAGGGUGAAGCCAGAGGAAACUCUGGUGGAGGCUCGCAGCGGUUCUGACGUGCAAAUCGAUCGUCAAAUUUGGGUAUAGGGGCGAAAGACUAAUCGAACCAUCUAGUAGCUGGUUCCUGC
rnacentral:rRNA from 1 species